CCCGUUUCCGUUAUGCUCUAAUGUUUAGCUUGUUUCCUUUCUCCGUCGAUCCGGAAUGCUGCUGCUGAGAUCGUUUCGGCCGAGGGGCAACGAAAUUGUGAAGUUCUAGUUUCAUUCGGCGCAUCCAUGGCUCGUCUCCAUGGUUGCGUCGGACUUUGUCCCCGUUUUGGAAUUAGGAGCAUCGUUAGAUAGUUCAUCACGCAUUCUUGGGUUAUACUAUGUGUAUUCUGUAUGGAAUGGAAUGUAGGAGCAAUUUACUUGAUAAUUUCGAUGUUGUUGACGUGAUGAUGAUUGUGGGUUCUUCUGAUUUUCGGGUUUCACCAUGUGUGUAUGUGAGCGCAUGUUUUGAUGUGAUGAUGAUCGUGGGUUCUUCUGGUUUUGGGUGAUUCAUGAGCUGAAACGUGUUGAUGAGAGGCGUUUGGGUUGGUGCUAAGUUGGAGAAGCUUGCCGAAGGAAAAUCUCAGGUGCAUACAAUUGAUUAGAUUCUGAUAGAAAAGAUAGGAAGUGAGUCGUGAUAAAAGCUCGUUCUAGUUGCAGCAGAUGGCAUUGUUUUUAUAAGCAUUUGUUUGGAUGCUACUUGGAAAUUAGUCGCGGCUUAGUUGCAGCAGGAAUUCUCUAAUCAAAUUAAUGUGCAUAUGAUUGAUGAAUUGAGUAAAUCUGUGUCGAUGUCUAGUCACAUGAAUUGAAAUGUUGAAGCAUUGAACACUGAUUCCGAUAACGAAACAGGUCUAUGAUAUUGGCCCACAGCUCAUAUGCUCAUGAGAAGAGCUUAACUUGAAGCAUACAAGCACAAUUCUUUUCAUUGGCCAAACACUUUCAGACGGAUUCUUUUUCUGCAGACCAAUCAGUUGGUGGUCUUCUGUACAAUGAACUUCUGCAUUAAUGAUCUCUCUUUUUUCCCCUUUUUUUGGGUUCUUGUAGAGUCUAAGGGUAAACAUGUUUGAGGGAAAAAGUCAUGGAUAAUGCAAGUCCAGUUAUUGACUUUACUGCACAAAACUGCCGCAUGAAAGUAGCAUUUGGUGCUGCACAAAGUCUCGAGUAUUUGCAUGAUAAGGCCAAUCCACCUGUUAUAUGUCGUGAUUUCAAUUCCUUGAACAUCUUGUUGGAUGAGGCUUUCAAUCUGAAAUUAUCCGACUUUGGACUGGCCAUGCUCGGGCCUGCCGGAGACGAGAUGCAUGUACUCGUACAGGGUUAUGGAUACUUAUGGCCUUUUGGCUCCUAUAUAGGCAAUAACCGUCCAACUUGUAUGCUUUCUAAUGGUUACAUAGGGGGACAGAAGUAGGGUUGGCUCUUGCCUGAUGGAAGCAUUUAUUAUUAUCACAGGAUGAGCGCAAGCUUGUCUCAUAGAAGCGGGUCUCCAGUCCAUGAGAUGAGCCAAGACAGCAGAAAAUGUUCCUUGAGCCGUAAGAGCAGCGAGAGAUCAUUUGACAGAAUUGAUCUUUUUAAGUCCAAAAGGAAGCAGCAGAUGCAGCAGAACGGGAUCGAUGGGUCGUGCUGCCUGUUGGGCGGACGAUCCACGGGUGGUUCACAGGAUGGAAACUAAGGAAUCAAUAUUUUGAGUCCGAAAGGAAGCAGCAGGUGCAGCAGAACAGGGUCACUUGACGAUGCUGCCUCUUUGGCAGACGAUGACACGGGGGUUCAUAGGAUGGUAGCUAAGGAGUCAAUCUUCUGAGUUCAAAAGGAAGCGGCAGAUACAGCAAACCGGGGUCACUAGAUGGUGCUGCCUUUUUUGGUGGAUGAUGACAUGGAGGGGUUUUCACAGUAUGGGAGCUAAUCUUUCGAGUUCAAAAGGAAGCAGCAGAUACAGCAAAACAAGAACACUAGAUCAUGCUACUUAUUUUGGGAACUAUGACACGGGGGGUUUCAUUGGAUGGGAGCUUCUAUCAGCGGCACGACAGCCAUGGUAUACCAAGAGACCAUACGCUUUCCUUGAAACAAGACAACUGUGAGAGAUUCUGAUGUCAAUUUGAUUCGUUCCAAGCAAUUGAGCUACGAGCAUAUCCACUCAUCAUCAUAAGCUCCCGUCACUUGGUUAUCUUUAUUUAACAUACAGUUUAAGAUCUUCUCUCUUAUGAUCUUGUCGCUACUGAAGACAGGAUGCACAUUCGAU
rnacentral:lncRNA from 1 species